rnacentral:rRNA from 1 species
AAAAACAUUGCCUCUCGACUCAACAAUGAGAGGUUCAUCCUGCCCAAUGACAACAUAGUUCAAUGGCCGCGGUACCCUGACCGUGCAAAGGUAGCAUAAUCACUUGCCCCUUAAUUAGGGGCUGGCAUGAAAGGACACACGAAAGCUUCCCUGUCUCACAAUAACAAAUAAAAAUUAAUCUUCAAGUGAAAAAGCUUGAAUAAAAUUGCAGGACAAGAAGACCCCGUUGAGCUUUAUUCUCUAUAGACUAAAUCAAAUAUUAAAUACAUCAUAAACCUAAAAAGAAUUUAGUUGGGGUGACUAARGAACACCGAAAACUUCCUUUUAUUAAUUAGGAUCAUUCUCCAUACAAAUUGACCCAUUACACAUGAUCAAAAAAAUAAGCUACCACAGGGAUAACAGGCUAAUCUUUCUCAAGAGCCCAAAUUGUCAGAAAGGAUUGGCACCUCGAUGUUGGCUUAGGGGCCCCUAAUGGUGCAGAAGCCAUAAA